rnacentral:rRNA from 1 species
CAAUAGCGUAUAUUUAAGUUGUUGCAGUUAAAAAGCUCGUAGUCGGAUUUUGGCUGAGAACGAUCGGUCCGCCGUUAGGUGUGCACUGAUUGGUCUCAGCUUCCUGGUGAGGAGGUGUGCUUCACGGCCACUUAGUCACCGUGGUUACUUUGAAAAAUUAGAGUGUUCAAAGCGGGCUUACGCUUGAAUAUAUUAGCAUGGAAUAACACCAUAGGACUCCUGUCCUAUUUCGUUGGUCUCGGGACGGGAGUAAUGAUUAAGAGGAACAGUUGGGGGCAUUCGUAUUUCAUUGUCAGAGGUGAAAUUCUUGGAUUUAUGAAAGACGAACUUCUGCGAAAGCAUUUGCCAAGGAUGUUUUCAUUGA